UUUCAGCUGCUUGGAAGCCUGCUUUUGACAUUUCCAGCAAUCACUCUAUUUUGGGGACCUGCCUUGCCAACAUGUCCCUUGGGAUUUUAAUUCUCAUGAAAGCCUGCAGGGACUGCAGUUUCAUAGAAACAGAGGCGGAAACCAGUGCGGGGCUCACACAAGGUCACGUAGAUGAAAGGUGAAGACGCAUGAUGAAUGAUCAUUCAGCAAGAUUCAGAGCAGAUGAAAGGGUCCUGACUCAUCUGAAAAGGUCACACCAUGCUGCAGGCCCAGUGGGAAUGGCAAGAAGGGAGGCAGUACAAAGACAUGCUAUCAAAUCCCAGUUCAUGGGUUUUAUGAGUGCAUGCAAGUUGAACUGUGGAAAUUCUACUCUCUCCCCACGACACAGUGUUGCUGGGCAGCCUCAGCCGGGGAGCACCUGGGCAGCCCAAGCCAAGGAGAUAACUCAGAGCUUAUGCAACUUAUUCUUCCUUUGGUACAGAUCAUAUCUGAUUUCAUUUAAACAUAAUUCUUGGUUUCCUUGGACAACCUUUAUCCAGUUCUACCCUAAAUUCAGAAUAGAGUGAGGGAAUGCUGGUCUGGACAUGUGGAGGUUAUGGAAACAAAUGCAAAGGCAACUGGCUUAAAGAAGUGAUGACAGAAGGGGGGAGGAAAGGUCAUAAGGUGAGAUAUUGGGGGGAAAAAAUCUAAGGACAGAAUAGACUGAGCUAUUUAAGGGGCUAUAACUAAAACUCCACAUUCCUAUAAAACUUAAUAAUCCCUGAACAUAUCUCUGGGGAGGUGGAGGGCAGCAGAGCAGUUCAGGCCAAGUCAAAGAUAGAUCAAGCUGAUUACUAUGUCCUUUUUUAGUGCUCCAGCACACACCAUAGACGGUGGCUUGUGUUCACAGGAAAAGGCUAUAUGGGGUUGAGCUCCUUACCAAGGAAAGCAUAGGUGAAACCUGUUUUUUAAAAGAGAUCAAUUAAAAAUGGUAGCAAGGUAAAGCAGGAAAUUCCUGCAGAACUGGAUUAAAAUCCAUGCCCAUCCUAACCAGGCCAUCAAAAUGUGCAAGUUACAUAAUACUUUUGAACCUGAGUUUUCUUACCUGCAUCAUGGGAAUAGGAAGAGCUGCCUCUCAGAAUUGUUGUGUAGCUUAAAAGAUAUAGACUAUAGCCAGUGCAGAUGUAACCCUUAAAACAUUAAGCUUUAGUUAUGAAGGAAGAUUGCAGAUCUAAAGCCCUGGGUUCCUGCCACAGUGCGGAACCCAGGGCUAUAGCCAGUGCAUUCAAGAUCAAAAGUGUAGCAUCUGGCUUCCUUGGAUCCAUGGAGAUGGUCUUCUCUAAUGGUGAGAGAUUCUAUAGCAUUCAGGCAAACUAAGUUCAACCCUACAUAUAGCCUUGGCAAGCUACUAUACCUCUGUUUCAUUUUCCUAAUCUGUACAUGGGGGAUAACAAGAUACCUCCCUCACAGGGAUAGGAUGAAGAUGAGUUAUAACCUAAAUUUUUUAAAAGUGGGAACAUAGAAAGUGUCACCAAAUAUUAGCUAAUUAUUAUUUCUAUAUAAUAUUUACAUAUGUAUAUAUUGCACAUAUAUGAAUAUAUAUGUACGAAACACACCUAUCUCAUACAAAUCACUGCACAUGUUUUAUGAAUGAAUGCAAGCACAUGGGUUGGCAGAAAUUCUUUUGACUAUUUUCAUGAAUUGCAAGGGAAGACUGCAAGAGGGGCUGUGACUUUUCUUUUGCAAUGCACAGGUUUAUGGAGGUGGGGAGAGGUUUGGGGGAUGGGGAGUCAGCAGUGGACACUGAAGCCCUUCUUGAUUUUACAAGAUACCCUGCCUUGUGACAACACAGAGAGGGAAUUCAGAAGAUCAGGGACCUUGGCCCAAGGCAUUCAGGGAGGAAUUCCAUCUGCCAUCCUGUAUAAAUAAACAACACAGCAGAGACUGGUCCCCUUCUCUCCUAGGAGAAUCACUUGUUUCCAUAUUUUGAUUAUGCCCUACUCUGCCUUUAUAGGAUGAUAAAUCACCGAAAUGUAACAUGGCUUCAAAAGGCCUAAGGACAUUAUUUACAUUUUCAGCAGUCAUUUUGGCAGAUCUUACGUCAUGGGAACUCACCAGGCCCUAGAGACUUGGAAAGUCCAUCACCUGUUCCCACCAGAGCCAGAGGCCUGGAAGCUGUACUUUGUGUGUGAUUCCCACUGCUCUCUACUCAGAUGCUGAAAGGGGGAUGGGGAGUCUCUAAAUGACCCCCAAAGAGCAUGUUAGGAGUUUAGAGACCUACAUUAAAAUCACAGUGCUGCCACUUUCUGGUUUUGAGAAUCAGGCAAGUUGCCUAAACUCUGUGACCUCCCCAAGCCUGCACCUACCUCCCAGGAAAGACCUUUGUGCCUGAGUCAGGAGUCCAUCCUGCUAAAGUCUGCCCAUCAACCCACUAUGGAGCUUGUGCACAUUAUUUGUGCUCUGCUUGUUUCUUCCCUGAAACCUGGGGAUAAAAUUGGUUGUCUGGCUUACUUCCCAAAGUAACAAAGCUAAAAAGAGUUUAAUUAAGGUUGGUUGUUUUAAAGUUCUUUGAAAAAGUAUCAACUGUUUAAUGCAUUACUUCUGAAGUACUAAUACUAGAAUUUCUUUGAGCAAGAUUCGCACUUGUGACCUUUGAUAGUCAAGGUAGAUCAUCUCAAGCCAUUAGAGCCACACUCAGAGAAAAGAAUCUAGUGGCUUUAAUUCUCACUAGG